CCUACGGGAGGCAGCAGUGAGGAAUAUUGGUCAAUGGGCGAGAGCCUGAACCAGCCAAGUCGCGUGAGGGAAGACGGUCCUAUGGAUUGUAAACCUCUUUUGCCGGGGAGCAAAAAGCGGUACGUGUACCGCAUCGAGAGUACCCGGAGAAAAAGCAUCGGCUAACUCCGUGCCAGCAGCCGCGGUAAUACGGAGGAUGCGAGCGUUAUCCGGAUUUAUUGGGUUUAAAGGGUGCGCAGGCGGCGAGUUAAGUCAGCGGUAAAAUUUCGGGGCUCAACCCCGACAAGCCGUUGAAACUGGGUGGCUAGAGUGGGCGAGAAGUAUGCGGGAGGCGUGGUGUAGCGGUGAAAUGCAUAGAUAUCACGCAGAACUCCGAUUGCGAAGGCAGCAUACCGGCGCCCAACUGACGCUCAGGCACGAAAGCGUGGGUAUCGAACAGGAGUAGAUACCCCAGUAGUC
rnacentral:rRNA from 1 species